rnacentral:rRNA from 1 species
CACGUAGGGGGCAAGCGUUGUCCGGAUUUAUUGGGCGUAAAGAGCUCGUAGGCGGCUCGUUGCGUCGGCUGUGAAAACCCGCAGCUCAACUGUGGGCUUGCAGCUGAUACGGGCGGGCUGGGAUUCGGUAGGGGAGACUGGAAUUCCUGGUGUAGCGGUGAAAUGCGUAGAUAUCAGGAGGAAUACCGAUGGCGAAGGCAGGUCUCUGGGCUGACACUGACGCUCAUGCACGAAAGCGUGGGGAGCAAACAGG